rnacentral:rRNA from 1 species
UACGUAGGGUGCGAGCGUUGCCCGGAUUUAUUGGGCGUAAAGGGCGCGUAGGCGGUGAGAUGCGUCCGUUGUGAAAUCGCCCGGCUCAACUGGGGAGGGUCACGCGAUACUGAUCGACUGGAAGGCAGGAGAGGGUAGUGGAAUUCCCGGUGUAGUGGUGAAAUGCGUAGAUAUCGGGAGGAACACCAGUGGCGAAGGCGACUACCUGGCCUGUUCUUGACGCUGAGGCGCGAAAGCGUGGGGAGCAAACAGG